rnacentral:misc_RNA from 1 species
GUAGGUGAACCUGCGGAAGGAUCAUUACUGAAUUGUCAACACGAGUUGUUGCUGGUCUCCAAAUGGGGGCACGUGCACGCUCUGUUCGCACAUCCAUUCACACCUGUGCACCCCAUGUAGUUCUAUGGUUUGGGGGACUCUCCCUCUGCUGUGGUUCUAUAUCUUUACACACACUCUGUAAUAAAGUCUUAUGGAAUGUAUGCAGCGUUUAACGCAAUACAAUACAACUUUCAGCAACGGAUCUCUUGGC